GGCUUAGUGGUCUAGUAGUAUGAUACCCGCUUCGGGCUUGCGAGAGCUCCUGGAUGAUAUCCAGAAAUUGCGGGUGGUCCCGGGUUCAAUUCCCGGCUGAGCCC